GCGGCUGCAGUCCUCCAAAACCAGCUUCUGGGUCUCUGGUGGAGCAGAGAGAGGGAGCGCGGCGAGCAGAGGACGCUCCGCCAGGGCAUGACUGUCUGAAGGAACCGAGGACGGGUGGGGGAGAGAGAGCCUUCCCCUCGCUGAGCGGAAAAGGGCGAGAAUUCCUUAACUCGAUCCUACUAGGAGAGCUAGCGGCGUUACCUUCUGGGCUAACAAGACUUGGACCUCCGAGGAUGAUACUGAAACAAAAGGGUCCAGAUGGCUGCAACACAAGUGGUGGAACACCCUGUUGCUGAGGUGCUGAUUUCAUGCUGCAGGUGAUGCUGCUGCUGCUGGUCUGGGGUCCACACUUUGAGAAUCACUGGUUGCCUGAUACCACGAAGUAACAGAACUCUGCCCCUGGAGUACUGUCCUAACUUCCUCAAGGGAACCCUUGAUUCAAGGUAUGUUGGAGAGAGAGGAAAAAAAAAACCCUGCAGCUAACAUUGUACUUAAUGGUGAAAGACUGAAUGCUUUCCCUCUAAAACCAAGAAGAAGACGGAUACCUACUCUCACUA